CAGACGGAUCGGGUGACCGCUGCGCUCUCAGAUAUUGAGAGCGGGGAGGAAAGUCCGGGCUCCUGCGGGCAAGGUGCUGGGUAACCCCCAGGCCCUCGACUAACAUUUAUUGUUGACAUCGAGGUACGGAAAGUGGCACAGAAACUAUACCGCCCCAGCUUAUGGGGUAAGGGUGAAAUUGCGAGGUAAAAGCUCACAACCGCACGUGGUGACACGGCGGUGGCCAAACCCCACCCGGAGCAAGGCCAAAUAGGGGGACAACGGAUGCCCGCUCCGUCCCCGGGUAGGCUGCUAGACCCCGACGGUAACGUCGCUCGACAGUUCUUGUAGAGAUCAACGUUUUUGAAAUUCGUUGCAGGGCUAGAUAGAUGGUCACCAUCCCAGUUUUCUGGGAGACAGAACCCGGCUUAUAGAUCCGUCUGGUCU
rnacentral:RNase_P_RNA from 1 species